CAAAAACAUGUCUCUUUGUAAAAUAUAAAUAGAGAGUCGGGCCUGCUCGGUGAAUAAGUUUUUAACAGCUGCGGUAUUUUAACUGUACUAAGGUAGCAUAAUAAUUUGCCUUAUAAUUUGAGGCUAGAAUGAAUGGUUUGACGAAGGUUAAUCUGUCUCCACCUUAUUUUUUAGAAGUUAAUUUUUAAAGUGAAAAAGCUUAAAUUUUUCAAAGGGACGAGAAGACCCUAAUGAGCUUAUAAUUUUAUUAUCAUUAUUUAAAAUAUUUAGGUGGUGGUAUAUAAAUUUUAAUUGGGGUGAUUAAGGAAUAAAUUGUGUAUAGUAACUUCCUUAAAUUAGGUAUUUGUAGAUAAAGUAACCAAUGUAAUAUUGCUUAUAGUAUAGUUACCAUAGGGAUAACAGCGUAAUUUGUUUAGAGAGUUCUUAUUGAAAAACGAGAUUGCGACCUCGAUGUUGGAUUAAAGUAACCCUAGGGUGCAGAAGCUUUAGUAGGUAAAUCUGUUCGA
rnacentral:rRNA from 1 species